CACGUAGGGUGCAAGCGUUGCCCGGAAUUAUUGGGCGUAAAGGGCUCGUAGGCGGUCCGUCACGUCGGGAGUGAAAACUCGGGGCUCAACCCCGAGCCUGCUUUCGAUACGGGCGGACUAGAGGUAGGUAGGGGAGAACGGAAUUCCUGGUGUAGCGGUGGAAUGCGCAGAUAUCAGGAGGAACACCGGUGGCGAAGGCGGUUCUCUGGGCCUUACCUGACGCUGAGGAGCGAAAGCGUGGGGAGCGAACAGG
rnacentral:rRNA from 1 species